rnacentral:rRNA from 1 species
UCUGGUUCAGGACGAACGCUGGCGGCGUGCCUAACACAUGCAAGUCGAGCGAGGAGAUCCUUCGGGAUGAUCCUAGCGGCGGACGGGUGAGUAACACGUGGGCAACCUGCCUCAUAGAGAGGAAUAGCCUUCCGAAAGGGAGAUUAAUACCUCAUAACAUUGCAGUUUCGCAUGGAACAGCAAUUAAAGGAGUAAUCCGCUAUGAGAUGGGCCCGCGGCGCAUUAGCUAGUUGGUGAGGUAACGGCUCACCAAGGCGACGAUGCGUAGCCGACCUGAGAGGGUGAUCGGCCACAUUGGGACUGAGACACGGCCCAGACUCCUACGGGAGGCAGCAGUGGGGAAUAUUGCACAAUGGGGGAAACCCUGAUGCAGCCAACGCCGCGUGAGUGAUGACGGCCUUCGGGUUGUAAAGCUCUGUCUUCAGGGACGAUAAUGACGGUACCUGAGGAGGAAGCCACGGCUAACUACGUGCCAGCAGCAGC